CCCCUCAGUCUGCCUGGGACUUGAGCUGCUCCUGCCUGUUUAAACGGAAAGGACACAGAUCCUGUCUGUUCAAUGUAUAAAAAAAAUUCCCAAUCAGAGCAGGCUGAGAGAGGGGGAGGCAGAGAGUGUGUAUGUGUGCCAGAGAGAGAAUCACCGUGUCAGAGAGAGAAAAGCCAACAGGAUCCUCUAUGUAUAUAAAGAUGGCCACGUUAGCUAACGGACAAGCAGACAACAGCAGCCUGAACAGCAAUCACAGCAACAACCCCAACACCAACGGGCACAUGAACGGAUUAAACCACAGUCCAGGGAGCACUUCCACCAUCCCCAUGAAGGACCACGAUGCCAUCAAGCUCUUCAUUGGGCAGAUCCCUCGCAAUCUGGACGAGAAGGACCUGAAGCCUCUCUUUGAGGAGUUCGGCAAGAUCUAUGAGCUGACAGUGUUGAAGGACAGGUUCACGGGCAUGCACAAAGGCUGCGCCUUCCUUACAUACUGUGAACGAGAAUCUGCUCUGAAAGCUCAAAGUGCUCUGCAUGAACAGAAGACUCUUCCUGGGAUGAACCGGCCAAUCCAGGUCAAGCCAGCAGACAGCGAAAGUCGAGGAGCAGGGACUUGGCAGCCUGCCAGCCUUGGAAUCUGGUGCAGAGAAAGAGGAGAGAACAGAGUGCUGAGAUCUGACUUGGACUACUCGAAUGCUUGUCUUGUGAACUAUGAGAAUGAAUUGCUCUGCAGUGCCUGCACCUACAAAGAAGACAGAAAACUUUUCGUGGGCAUGUUGAACAAACAACAGUCAGAAGACGAUGUCCGUCGGCUAUUUGAAGCUUUUGGGAAUAUCGAGGAGUGUACAAUCCUUCGAGGACCAGAUGGAAACAGCAAAGGGUGUGCGUUUGUCAAAUACUCAUCGCAUGCGGAAGCACAGGCAGCCAUUAACGCCCUACACGGGAGUCAGACGAUGCCGGAUGCUGAAACUGUGCUGCUGUCCAUGAUGCAUAACCAUGCCCCUGGUUUUGCUGCCCGUUGUCAGUUACCGGGGGCGUCAUCGAGCCUGGUGGUGAAAUUUGCAGACACAGACAAGGAGCGCACAAUGAGACGCAUGCAACAAAUGGCAGGGCAGAUGGGAAUGUUCAACCCAAUGGCCAUCCAGUUCGGAGCUUAUGGCGCUUAUGCACAGGCACUGAUGCAGCAGCAGGCUGCCAUCAUGGCUUCCGUCGCGCAGGGCGGAUACCUGAACCCCAUGGCUGCCUUCGCGGCCGCCCAGAUGCAACAGAUGGCAGCCCUCAACAUGAACGGCCUGGCCGCUGCUCCUAUGACGCCAACAUCAGGUGGCAGCACACCACCUGGUAUCACCGCACCAGCUGUGCCUAGUAUUCCAUCUCCAAUCGGGGUCAACGGCUUCACCGGCAUUCCGCCCCAAGCUAAUGGGCAACCAGCUGCAGAAGCCGUGUUUGCCAACGGAAUCCAUCCUUAUCCAGAAAUACCACUUCAAUGGAUAAAAUCACAGAGCCCCACCGCGGCAGACCCCCUGCAGCAAGCCUACGCCGGAGUGCAGCAGUACGCAGGUCCUGCUUAUCCUGCUGCCUAUGGACAGAUCAGUCAAGCAUUCCCCCAGCCACCUCCCAUGAUCCCACAGCAACAGCGAGAAGGACCCGAAGGCUGCAACCUGUUUAUCUACCAUCUGCCCCAGGAAUUUGGGGACGCCGAGCUCAUGCAGAUGUUCCUGCCUUUCGGUAAUGUCAUCUCCUCGAAAGUGUUUGUGGAUCGGGCGACAAACCAAAGUAAAUGCUUUGGUUUUGUGAGUUUUGACAAUCCUGCCAGUGCCCAGGCGGCCAUCCAGGCCAUGAAUGGCUUUCAGAUUGGCAUGAAGAGGCUGAAGGUGCAACUCAAGAGGCCGAAAGAUGCCAACCGCCCUUACUGAGAUACUUCAGGAGCCUCUGGAAUCAAGGACUAGCACAGACCCAACAUACGAUCUCACGCCGAAAAAAGUUAACGUAAUGACGUGGAGAAACGAGCCCCCCCCAGUCCGACAGGAACUGAAUGGGCCGUAUUAUUACAAUACAAAAUAAACAUAUAAAAGAAUAUAUGACCGAGAAGCGCUGGAUUACAAUUUUGACAUAUCAGCAAAGUACCAAUCAUGCUGAAGACUUCAGACUUUUCUUCUACUUUGAUUGUUAAGACUGUAAUAUUUCUUCAAUGAAAGUAUCGCGACUGCUUACGUGGAUGGGAACUCAAGUUGGAAACAUCAGACGGAUCAAGAUCAAUGGGAAUUUCCGAACAGACACUGAUAAUGCCACAAAAAAAAAAGGCUUUUUCUUAAAAAAAAAAAAAAGAAACCUGAAAUUUGACAAGGAGUGCCUGUUCGCCACCAUGAGUUAUGUUGCUAUGGCAUCCCCAUGGCAACUGUUGCAAGAAGCAUCGUUUAUGUCAUUCCUUAGCUAUUUAGGGACCAAAGGACCAAACUUUUUAUUGCAGACUUGUAGCUGUAUGUAAAAUAUGAAGUUAACUUCCUACACCUUAGCUGUUCUUAAAACAGUUUGGGAGUAAUUAUAUGAAAUAUGUAAAAAAAAAAAAAAAAAAAUGCUUAAAAUGCUUUUAAAAAAUGGCAAGAUAAUAGCUAUUUGAUACUAUAGAAGGUUCUUUGGUUACAUUAAUUAAAUUCUUGAAAAUUUCCUAUGGUUUUAUGUAUAUUAUGAAAGGAUAAGUAUGUAGGAAUUAAAUAGAGGAUAGAUAUUUUAAAAAGCAGACAAAACAAAAAAUUUAAAAAAAACGUGAGAUGGAAAAAAAAAUAAUAAAAAAUGAGAAAAAUAAAAAAAAAAUUGAAAAAUGCAUUAGAAAGAAGGUAGUAGGAAAAAAAAAAAAAGGUUUGUAAAUGCUUCUAACUACCCUUUAAAAUCCUAAUAGUUGUACAGAUUUAACAGAAAAGUUUAAGAUAUCUAUAUAAUAGUAAAAAAAAAAAAUUAGAAAGCAAAAACAAAAAAAAAAAAAAGUUUAAAAAAAAAAAAUAGACGUUAGCAUUAUGGCUAAAAGAAAGAUGUUGUAGAACUGUAAUUUUUGUAGAGUUUAGAAUAAGCAUAAAAUCCUAUUGCAUACUUUAUUGAGGAGGAUAUGAGAGGCUGUGAUGGCAGCUUUUGACUGCAAGCAUUCCACCUAUUAAAAAAAUAAAACUUGACUCUUGUAAAAUGAUGCAAUGAAAUAAAAUAACGUUACAACAGCUAUUGUCUUUUUUUCAUCAGUUAAUUGUAACUUGAAGAAUGACAUGGCUCUUCGCUUCAUAUCUUCGUAAUCUGCUCUUUGCUAACCCUCCCAUCAUCCUCUGCUUUAGUAGUUUCCAUAUUUGUUCUAGACCUUCAGGGGCAAAAGACAGCCUAGAACCUUAAUGUUAAAAAAAAAGUAAAAAAUAAAAAAAUAUAAACAAUCUUUGAAAAAAUUUCUGAAACUGUUUACAAGGAAUUUUGAAAAACAGGGGAUGUUUAAAAAAAACGAUGCUGGCUCUGUUUUUCUGUAAAUACAUUUGCAUAUUUUGUAGGUCUUUUAAUUGUAAUGAUAGAGAAAAAAAAAAAAAAAACAAGGAAAAAAUUAUUUAAAA